CUCAAUGAAAUUUCAAUUGCCGCAAAUAUGUGCCAAGGUAGCAUAAUCAUUUGUCUUUUAAUUAAAGACUAGAACGAAAGAUUUAACAUUNCUAUUACUUUCUUACAUAUAAUUAUUUAAUUUAUUUUAAACAUAUAAAAAUAUUUAUAACUUAAAAAGACGACAAGACCCUAUCGAACUUAACUAAAGUUUAACUGGGGUAGUUAAUUAAAUAUAAUUUUAAUUUAAAUCCAAACACAACCUAAUUUAAUUAAAAAAUUAAGUUACCAUAGGGAUAACAGCGUAAUAUUUUUCAAAAGUUCUUAUUUCAAAAAUUGAUUACGACCUCGAUGUUGAAUUAAUUAUCUACUAAAUGCAAUAAUUUAAUAAGAAAGUCUGUUCGACUU
rnacentral:rRNA from 1 species